AUUGAACGCUGGCGGCAUGCCUUACACAUGCAAGUCGAACGGCAGCACGGGGGCAACCCUGGUGGCGAGUGGCGAACGGGUGAGUAAUGCAUCGGAACGUGCCCAGUAGUGGGGGAUAACCAGUCGAAAGACUGGCUAAUACCGCAUACGACCUAAGGGUGAAAGCGGGGGACCGUAAGGCCUCGCGCUAUUGGAGCGGCCGAUGUCUGAUUAGCUAGUUGGCGGGGUAAGAGCCCACCAAGGCGACGAUCAGUAGCUGGUCUGAGGGGACGACCAGCCACACUGGGACUGAGACACGGGCCAGACUCCUACGGGAGGCAGCAGUGGGGAAUUUUGGACAAUGGGCGCAAGCCUGAUCCAGCCAUGCCGCGUGCGGGAAGAAGGCCUUCGGGUUGUAAACCGCUUUUGGCAGGAACGAAACGGCGCAGGCCAAUACCUUGCGCUAAUGACGGUACCUGCAGAAUAAGCACCGGCUAACUACGUGCCAGCAGCCGCGGUAAGAC
rnacentral:rRNA from 1 species